UACGGGAGGCAGCAGUGGGGAAUAUUGCACAAUGGGCGCAAGCCUGAUGCAGCCAUGCCGCGUGUAUGAAGAAGGCCUUCGGGUUGUAAAGUACUUUCAGUCGUGAGGAAGGUGUUAAGGUUAAUAACCUUAGCAAUUGACGUUAGCGACAGAAGAAGCACCGGCUAACUCCGUGCCAGCAGCCGCGGUAAUACGGAGGGUGCGAGCGUUAAUCGGAAUUACUGGGCGUAAAGGGCACGCAGGCGGUUAAUUAAGUUGGAUGUGAAAUCCCCGGGCUUAACCUGGGAAUGGCAUUCAAGACUGGUUAGCUAGAGUCUUGUAGAGGGGGUAGAAUUCCAUGUGUAGCGGUGAAAUGCGUAGAGAUGUGGAGGAAUACCGGUGGCGAAGGCGGCCCCCUGGACAAAGGACUGACGCUCAUGUGCGAAAAGCGUGGGGAGCAAACAGGGAUUAGAUA
rnacentral:rRNA from 1 species